rnacentral:rRNA from 1 species
CAUGCAAGUCGAACGGUAACUUUUGGUGCUUGCACCGAAAGACGAGUGGCGAACGGGUGCGUAACGCGUAUGCAAUCUGCCUUUUACUAGGGUAUAGCCCAGAGAAAUUUGGAUUAAUCCCCUAUAAUAUCAUUUAAUCGCAUGAUUUUAUGAUUAAAGCUUCGGCGGUAAAAGAUGAGCAUGCGUCCUAUUAGUUAGUAGGUGAGGUAACGGCUCACCUAGACUCCGAUAGGUAGGGGUCCUGAGAGGGAGAUCCCCCACACUGGUACUGAGACACGGACCAGACUCCUACGGGAGGCAGCAGUGAGGAAUAUUGGACAAUGGACGAAAGUCUGAUCCAGCUAUGCCGCGUGCAGGAUGACGGCCCUAUGGGUUGUAAACUGCUUUUAUACAGGAAGAAAAACUCCGACGUGUCGGAACUUGACGGUACUGUAAGAAUAAGGAUCGGCUAACUCCGUGCCAGCAGCCGCGGUAAUACGGAGGAUCCAAGCGUUAUCCGGAAUCAUUGGGUUUAAAGGGUCCGUAGGCGGUUUUUUUAGUCAGAGGUGAAAUCCUGCAGCUCAACUGUAGAAUUGCCUUUGAUACUGAAAGACUUGAGUU